UCCCUGGUGGCUCAGAUGGCAAAGAGCCUGCCUGCAAUGCAGGGGACCUGGGUUUGAUCCCCAGAUGGGGAA
rnacentral:tRNA from 1 species